rnacentral:rRNA from 1 species
UACGAAGGGUGCAAGCGUUACUCGGAAUUACUGGGCGUAAAGCGUGCGUAGGUGGUUUGUUAAGUCUGAUGUGAAAGCCCUGGGCUCAACCUGGGAAUUGCAUUGGAUACUGGCAGGCUAGAGUGCGGUAGAGGAUGGCGGAAUUCCCGGUGUAGCAGUGAAAUGCGUAGAGAUCGGGAGGAACAUCAGUGGCGAAGGCGGCCUGCUGGGCUGUUGCUGACGCUGAGGCGCGACAGCGUGGGGAGCAAACAGG